CUAGAAGCCGGCGGCAAAAGCAGGAUAGCCCAUCGCGUUCAUCGCCCCCCCCCCCCCCCACCUCGCGGAAAGCUUCCCCUUUCCUGUCCUCCCCACCUGCACGGCGGCGAUGGCCGCUCCCUCCGCUACCCUCUCUGUCUCCGGUGCGACGCAUACAACUGCAUUCGGCUGCAAGAACAAGUUGAAGUUGAAUAGAAACCAUUUGCCGCUUGCAGUUCCCUCAAGUUCAGGGAAUGCAAAUCAUUGUGGAAAGUUAACCAUCUGCAGAGCACAAAGUGAAGAUUCUAAAGGUGGUGGAGGAUUCUUGACUGGAUUUCUUAUAGGGGGAGCAAUCUUUGGAACACUGGGAUAUGUCUUUGCUCCUCAGAUCAGCAGAACGUUGGAUUCUUUGUUGGAUGAGAACGGACAAGAUGGUGAGUCUGAUGAAAAUGGCCUCCAAAGGGUGACAAAGCCACGUAAUGGUCGAUAUUACGAUGAAGGUUUAGAGAAAACUCGUCAAACACUGGGCGACAAGAUAAGCCAACUGAACUUGGCAAUUGACAAAGCUGCAUCCCGGCUGAGACGUGUCACUGGCAAUGUGGAAAAUGAGGCUGUUAGUGAUGAAACAGAAGUAGAACCUUCCUAGAACUUAUUGGCGUAUCCUCACUGAACGGGAAUGAACAUGGUUUUGUGCAAGGUGAAAGCACAACAUGAUGAAUGUGUAGCACAGGUUGGAGGUUCAUCCGGAGAACGCUUCAGUCAGCAAACUGAAAGAUGAGCUGGAUCAUCUGUUUAAGCAAUUAACAGAAUGGAAUGAUUCACAGCUAGAAUCUUUUUGUACUUGUUCUAUUGACACCCCCCCCCCCUCUUGUUCAAGUUGCAAUUCUGUAAUGGCAUUUAUGUAGUAGUUUUGAUUUUUUUUUCUCUGCAUAAUUUGUUCUUUGUCAAGUGUUCUUAAAUCCAAAGAUUGUGCCAACGAUUUUCUA